UACGGGGGGGGCAAGCGUUGUUCGGAAUUACUGGGCGUAAAGGGCUCGUAGGCGGCCAACUAAGUCAGACGUGAAAUCCCUCGGCUUAACCGGGGAACUGCGUCUGAUACUGGAUGGCUAGAGUCCGGGAGGGGAUGGUGGAAUUCCCAGUGUAGCGGUGAAAUGCGUAGAUAUUGGGAAGAACACCGGUGGCGAAGGCGGCCAUCUGGACCGGAACUGACGCUGAGGAGCGAAAGCCAGGGGAGCAAACGGG
rnacentral:rRNA from 1 species